UUAUUUAUUCAAUAAAAUUUUGUUGAAACCUUAACCUUAUCUGUUCUUAUCAGUUUAAUAUCUGAUACGUCCCCUAUCUGGGGACCAUAUAUUAAAUGGAUUUUUGAGAACGGGGGGCGAUUUCGAAGCUUGCUUCCGUCGCCCUAUGCAUUGACCCGAUAUGGCAGUAUCUUCGGGUACAGUGCACCACCC